rnacentral:lncRNA from 1 species
GAUGUCCUGGCCCCCUGCACACCCUGGCUGUACAGUGCGGCUGGCAGGUCCCGGGCCACACGCCUGUGAAGCAGGUACUGCGCUCAGAGUGUAGGCCACCACAGAACAGUGGCAAGUGCUUGUAUGUCUAAACAGGUCCGAACAUAGAAGAUGUCCAGGGAGAGUGCUUGGUGAUAGGACCUCUCCCGCUCCAUUGUACUCCUAUGAGACUGCCACUGUAAGUGCACUGUGCAGACCCAAGGAAACAAUUUGGCAAGUAGCACAAAUGCGUGCAGUCAUCCAGCCCAAGAGCUCCCAGACGGGAAACGUUCCUGUUAGCCCAGCAAGCGCCUUCCCCGACCACCCUCCCCCAACACCAACCAUUUCUAGUUUUCAGGGCACCUGUGUUCCAGGCUUGGUGGCCUCCCGGUGAGCUGGAGGAAUCUCACCCCAUGCAUGUGCUCCUGGAGGAGGUGCCCAGGCCUCUCUCCCAUCAGACACUGCCAGCCUUGUGGCUGUGGCCGGGCCUCAAGCUCUGGCAGGGAGACUUCGAUACUAUUUGCACGACCCACUUAACCCCAGGGGUCCUCUGCUGCCCAGUGAGCUUGGUUCACAACAUGGUGACUCGGGGCCAGUGUGCUUGGCUGGUGCCCACCGUGCUGGGUCCGAGAAGUUGCCUUGGAAACCUCAGGCUUUGCAGAGACUGCUCCGCUGCUUCUCUCAGCCUGGGGCCAAACACAAGAUCCAGACGGAACCUCGGAUGCACCACUGAGCAGAUAAAGUGGGUCCAGAGGCCAAACCCCUCCCCCUCUGUGGACCCUGGGGGAGGAGAGGGCCUUAGAGGGGACCCCACCCCACAUAGGUCCAGUUUCAUGGCUUCUCCCCAUGGUAACUCUGUAGCACCAGCCCCAGGCGGCAGUGCGGUGUGCUGAAUUCAUCAGAACUACAGUUCUCCCUUGGAGCUGCUCUAAGAUCAGAGUAAACGACCUGCAAACGCGUUCUCGGAGACACCGGUGACACCUUCUAUCCGCACAUCUCCUGGCAGGCAGGCUGGUGGCUGCUGCCAGGCACCUUGUACUCGGGGACUCUUCAGUCCUGGCACCACUGGGGUAGUGUCAUCAUCCCGCCCGCCUGACGACAUCCAGACGACCCCGUGAAGGUCAGGCAGCUUCCCGAGGACAUGGCUCGGGGAAGCAGAACCAACAGGGGUGGGUGCGCUGCCAGCCACCUGCCACUCUCACUGCCUGUCUCAUGAGACCCAAAGGUGUCCAGCAGAACCAGGAAGUGCUGAUGUUGGACCCGGAGCACCGGCUUGCAGUCUAGACACUGCCGGCCCAGAGCUGGGAGCAAUCAGGUCAUUCCCAGCUGUGAUCCAA